UCGAAGAAGGUGUUGCUUCGGAAACAAGACGCGGCCACAGUUAGUCGUUUCCCCAGCAGCCAGGGACGCACACCGCAAUGAAACCUGCAGAAGUGGGCUCUCGGCGCCACCUGGUCCCGAGCCCUCCCUCCUCCGUCUGUGGACUGUCCGCGCUCCAGGACAGUUCACUCAUGGAGGUAAGAACUAAGCGUCUAAGUUGCUACCAGCUACUUUCCUGAAGCACCAUGCCACGGCCUGCUGACUCUCACGUUUGUGCAAACGCCAUAUUUUAAAAUGAUGAGCCGUUCAGGCAAGCACUUCAAAGUGUGUAAAGUUUCAAUUCAGACGAAUAGAUACCUACUUUUUUGGUACUGAGUUGAUUACUGAACUUAUCUCAUGGAAGGUGCUGUUACUCUGGACCUGGGGUAGGUACAGUCUUUGUCUUAGCUUCCAGGAAGCACACAGUUUCAUUGUCUUUCACACGGGGCCUUGGGAACGGGAGUAACCCUCCCAGGAGAAGUCAGAUCCUCUCCAAUGCCCUGUUCACUUCCAAGAUUUUAAAUUUCUUUGAAGGAUUUUCUUGCCUCAUAGUUUUUAUCUUAGAAGCUAAAGUUAUUUUCAACGUUGAAUAUGUGUAGUUGAUAUAUUGAGUAGAUCAAGGUAAACAGCGAAGUUCUGGGAGGAACUUGAUUUGAAAGUUUAAACCCUCCUCCUGCCCCAGGCCAUUCUAUCUUCUGCCUUGGAAAGAAGAAAAUGUAGUUCAUACACUAGUACAGAUCAGCUCUUCUCUACCUCAGGAGACCUUCAUCAAGAAAUUAUUUUCAUGAUGCCAGCAUGGUGGUAAAGCAAGUAAAGCUGCCACCUGCAUCCCAGAAGGGUGCCAGUCUGUUACUCCACUUCUGAUCCAGCUCCCUGCUAAUGUGCUUAGAAGUGGUUACCCCACUUCUGAUCCAGCUCCCUGCUAAUGCACUUGGGAAAAGCAGUGGAAGAUGGCCUAAGUGUUUGGGCUCCUGCCAUCCACAUGGGUGACCGGAUGAAGCUCCUCACUUUGGCCUGGCCCAGCGCUUGCCAUUGUGGCCAUCUGGGAAGUGAACCAGCGGAUAGAAGAUCGCUCGCUCUGGGUCUCCCUUUCUCUGUGAUUUUCAAAGAGCCAAAAAUUUUCUGGAGUGAGGGUGACGGAAGAGCUCUGGAUUCCUCUAUCUCCAGCUUCUACUACAGCUUAGAAGGUAAUGAACUGGGGAGGAGAAUUGUGUAUCUCAAAGCAAAGAAUUCCCAGUAAGAAAGCAACUGCCGAGGUGAGUAGCUGGCAGUCAAGAUGCCCACAUCCCAUACCAGGUUACCUGGGUUCUAGUCCCAGCUCUGCCCCCAGUGCCAGCUUCCUGCUAAUGCAGACCCAGGACAGUAGCAGGUGAUGGCUCAAGUAACUGGAUUUCUGCCAACCAUAUGGGGGAGAACUGGAUUGAUUUUCUGGCUCCUGGCUUCAAUCUGGCCCAGUCCCAGCUAUUGUGGACAUUUGGGAAGUGAACCAGCAGAUGGGAGCUCGCUCGCUUGCUCGCUUGCUCUCUCUCUCUCUCUCCCUGCCUCCCAAAUACAAAGAAAGAGAGAGGGAGGGAGGAACCACAAAGACCAAAUGACAUCUGAGGAAGCCACGCCAAGGCCUGGUCUCAGGUUCUACCAUAGCCAAGUAUCUUUGGUGACUGACAAGCUGUCAUUACUCACCAUCUUUCCAAUCAUCAUCACGUAGGGCCCCAGGUACUUGUUGACUCCAAAAAUGUCCAGGACCCGGAUGUACCAGAGGAUGAUAUCCACACAGUAGAUCACCCGGCCGUAGCCCAUGUACGGCUGGUUCUGCAGGCGAAGGAUUGCUCCGAUCAUGAACAUGGAAAUGGCCACGAGAUCGGUGAUGUUCCAGUACUCCUGAAGCCAGACUUUUAUUUUUUGUCUGAGUUUGCCUGGUUCUGACAUGAGAAUCUGAAAACAAGCCCAAAGAACAAUAAACAGAGAGCGCAGUAUUGGAA